AGGGCGUUCCCAUGUGUCCAUUUUUCGAAAAACGCAGAAGCAUAUAUCUGCCUUAAUAAGUGUUGUGUUGAAGAAUAGUUUUGUCAAUGUACAAAAUCAACAAUCUCAGAACAGUGAACACUGAUGAGAUUGAUAUGCUGUGUUUCUGUGUGCAUGGAUUUGAAAUACUUUAGGGAUUAACUGUUGAGACAGGACUACAAUAUGUUAUCGUUUACGAUGUCCAUAAUAUGUUUUAGUAUUCACAUUGAGUGGAUGGUUUAUUUCAAUAACAUUUGUGUGAUAACUGGGCAGAGUAAUUAAAACAUGUGAAUCCGCUGGUCCACUAGGUGGCAGAAACCCUCUGUUGUUACGGUUGAGUUAACCUAUACUAAGCACAGAACAAGUUCAGUCGGGUAUGUGUCUCUGUUGGCCAUGUUGAGUGUUCUGCAAACUGUGUUCGCCAACAAAGAAAUAAAGUUCCUUAAAUGUGUAACAAGAAGCCUCCGGGAGUUACUACAUAAAUGGCGACGAGGAUAAACUAAAGCCGAUGCCUCGUGGGGUUGCAGCGGAUGCAAGCGAAACAGUUUGGUCCUCCAUAGUAGGGAGCACCGCUCCGUUCGACAGUGAGACACAGACGUGGGAAGAAUAUUGUGAGGUUCUUCACCAUUUUUUUUAAGCUAACGAAAUCACAGAUGCAAUUCGGCAGAAAGCUAGAAUUCUCAGUUCAGUGGGAAGUCAGACGUACAGCCUCGUGAGGAACCGUGUCAGUCCCGCCAAACCAGGAGACAAGACGUUUGCCGAACUGGUCAAGAUUUUAAAGGAACAUUUCAACCCCAAACCCAGCGAGAUUGUGCAGCGGUUCAAGUUUAAUUCCAGACAGAGGAAGCUUGAGGAAACAGUAAUGGAAUACAUCGCCGUGUUAAGGAAGUUAGCACUGGACUGCAGCUAUGGAGACAAGUUGUCGGAGAUGCUACGCGACAGACUGGUUUGUGGGAUUGGAGAUGACCGCAUUCAGCGCCGACUGUUGUCAGAACCGGAUUUGACAUUUGAGAAAGCACUAAAGCUGGCACAAGCCAUUGAGACAGCCAGCAAGGAUGUUAAGGAUUUACAGUCGCUGGAGUCUACACCCUCACACAUGAGGGCACCUCAUGCUCUAAUACGACCAAUAUUGUUAAGAAAGCGAGACAGCGCCUUUUCUUUUUACUUAGGCUUCGAGAGUUUAUUAAAAAUACUAAGAUUUUAUUGAAUUUUUACUAUUGUGUAAUUGAGAGUGUCCUAACCAGUUGUAUUACGGUGUGGUUUGGUAAUCUCACUCAAAAAGAGAAGAAGGCUUUGAAUAAAGUGGUUCGUUCAGCCAGCAGAAUUAUUGGCUGCACUUUUCCGCUCCUGGAGUUCACAUAUAAAGCUAGACUAUUGAAUCGAGCUUUACAACUGGCUAAUGAUGCCUCAGGCCAUCCAGCAGGGGCUUUCUUUGAGAUGUUUCCCUCAGGGAGAAGGCUAAGGCAAGUUCCGUGGCAGGCAAGUUUUAUUCCUGUAACAACGUCCGCUUGCAUAGAGAGAGAGAGAGAGGGAGAGGGAGAGAGAAAAAAAUAUGUGUGUCUCGUGGACUGGGUAUUUCCUUGUUUUCAAGGUCGACGAGACAACCUGGUAUCAGCAGCUGAGAGGCUCUGGAAAAAGCGGAGGAGAUACAAAGAUAAUAAUAAGGAAAACUACCCACAGCGAUAUCAACUUAAGAUCAGAUCAUCGACAAGCAACAGUAUAGAGGCCACAAGUAAAAGUAGAGAAAGUGGGAGAAGAAGAGUGCACAAUUUAAUCUAUUUGAUUAAUUUGUCUGUGUACAAGUUAACUAACUAAUUAGUAAGGAUGGAACGUGGGCGUACUGAGGUUUGGGAUGAAAUGAAAAUCCCAUACCCUGUGAACAUCAAGGAAAACGAGAAAAAAAGAAAAACAUUCAAAAAUAAACAUCUACUUUUAAAUCCUGAACAUCUAUAUGCUGAUGCCACAAUCAAAGGGGAUUGGAUGACCAACUUGAUUUUUUUCACAAGCCGUCCCAAAGUCUGGCAAGAAAGCAUCUGUAGGACCUAUGACGUCCCAAGAGAUAAACUAAGAGUUAUUAACCAUGGCAGUCAAGUGACCAUACUUAACGACACAGGAUCUACAUUCCUAAAUAUCAAUAUUUAUGAUACUGGAACAGUCGUAAUUAAUGGGGAUGACCCAAAUCUUCGGGAGUUUAAAAGCACAUUCUUUGAGUUAAAAACAAAGAUGGAAGAAUCAGACCACAUGCCAAAAAGUGAGGAGUCUGAUGAGGAGGAAAAGGUGGAGGUUAAGGAGGAGAAGAACCCUCCUGCUCAACCAGACCCCGCAACUGACCUUGACAUGGGUAGUCUCAAGUUGUGACCCCUCAAAAUUGUUUAUGAUGUUGCACUGUGCUGUGUGUGCUGUACCAUACUAUGUAAUAAUAUAAUGUGAUAUUCUCUUUAUAUUCUUCUGUACUGCUAGCUACUGUAAUUAGGAUGUGAUUGUUGCACAAUAGUUCAAAUUGAAAUGUUAUUAUAGCACUGUGAUGAGCCUUCUGUUCACCAUGCCUGGUGGCUGAGAUGUGUUCACUUCGCGAUGUGACUGGUAAAUACAAAGUGUUUCUAGACCUUGACCACCGAAAUACUGUUUGAACUCUACUACACUUUUGAUCAUUGAUCUCCUGCUGUACUUUUUGUGAGCAUCAAUGUAUGCCUCACCUUAAAUGCAUUUUUGUAAGUAACUUGAUAAUAUAAGCAUCUACUAAAUGAAUGAAAUGAAUAUAUUAAUGUGUUGUUGAGAUGUUUGUCUCAAUCUAGUUUAUGUUAUUGUUAAACUCUGCCUGGUAAAAUACAGAUAAUUGCUUUGAUAACUUUGUUUUUCGGAACCUUGAAUUUCGGCUGUUCUUUCUCAUUUGUAUGUCACUUUGAAUUAAUAAAAAUGUUUUUUUUUUUUAAGUAAAGUGUUUCUCCUGACACAAAGA